rnacentral:rRNA from 1 species
GCAAGGGGAGCGGCAGACGGGAGAGUAACACGUGGGAACGUACCCUUUGGUUCGGAACAACCCAGGGAAACUUGGGCUAAUACCGAAUAAGCCCUUACGGGGAAAGAUUUAUCGCCGAAGGAUCGGCCCGCGUCUGAUUAGCUAGUUGGUGAGGUAACGGCUCACCAAGGCGACGAUCAGUAGCUGGUCUGAGAGGAUGAUCAGCCUCACUGGGACUGAGACAAGGCCCAGACUCCUACGGGAGGCAGCAGUGGGGAAUAUUGGACAAUGGGCGCAAGCCUGAUCCAGCCAUGCCGCGUGGGUGAUGAAGGCCCUAGGG